rnacentral:tRNA from 1 species
GGGCGCUUAGCUCAGCUGGUUCAGAGCAUCUGGUUUACACUCAGAGGGUCGGGGGUUCGAAUCCCUCAGCGCCCA